rnacentral:lncRNA from 1 species
CCUUUUCCCUUUUCUCUCACGACGCUCAGAAAGAGAAAGGGAAAGAUGCAGAGGAAGGGGAGAACCAAGUGUCAGAAGAAGAGACCAUCAUUUUUUUACUGAAAAAGGCCAAGGUGAGACUCUGCAGCGGGUGGGAAUUUAAUCUCAGUGCCUGCGGGGCAGGGAAAGGAUUUUGCAAAUUCAAGCUGCCUUCCACCAGGCCUGGCCUUUUGCCCACCUAGCCUGGGAAUGUUUACCCUAACUGUGCGUGUGCGCGCGUAAAAGUAUGGAAUGGUGACCCUUUUAACACACAGCCACCUCUGCAAAGCAUCCUCCGGAGUUCCUGACUCAUGAUGGGCAGUUUGAACUGCCCUGCCGCCUGCAUUCCUGUUCUCUUUUAGUUCAACAUCAUGAAAGGAGAGUUGGAAGAGGCGGACGGGAUCCUGCAUGAAGCUGCCCAACUCUCUCACCAGGCAAACAACACCAAGGCCAUCAUCUACACAUACGACAUGGUGAGUCCAGGCACCCUUUAAAAUUAUUUAAAAUUAUUUAAAAUUCUGCGCCAAAGUGGCACUGAACCUGGGACUAUUCUGAGACAUGCUUGCCCUUAAGGGAAUUUAUCUUCCUGCUCUGCAAAGGCCCUUCUGAAUAUGCCCGGCUGGCAGAAUUAUCUGUGGCAGAAGGUGACCAAAGAAUCUUGUAGCACUUUAACCCUUCUGGCUUUUAAAAACAAAUGACCAUGUUUCUAAUCCUUGUUUGCCGUACAGUGGAAAGCAUGUAGGCAACUCCUGCUGGAAUCUCUGAAGUCAAAAGCACAGGGAGAGCGAGAUUAUCUUUAAGUAGACCGUUUGUUUGGCAUGUUGCAGAUGGCGAAUGUGGCCUUCAUGAGGGGAGAGCUGGAGCAGGUGAGUAACGCCAGCUCCCUAAUGCAUGCAGGGCCGGGACCCGGGUGUGCCUGUGGUGGAUCUCCAGAGAUCACCCCCGAAACGUCUGGCUUUUCUAAUGAUUACCCACUUUGCUCUCCUGUUUUAGGCAGAAAAGCUUUUCAAAGUGGCAAUGAGCUACCUGCUGGCUGGAGAUAUGAAGCAGGACGACAACGCCAUCAUAGAGAUGUCGCUCAAGCUAGCCAGCAUCUAUGCCGCACAGAAUCAGUAAGGUUCCUUGCCUCUUUCCCUCUUUUGUCCUCGGGCGCUUCUGGGGUGGGGUGUGGGCGCGUCUGCAUCUCCCCCCACUGCAUCCGCCUGCUGGCAUGCAGGCAGAUGUGGGUCUUCUGGGACAAAUCAAUGCAUCUUGGCCAUAUUUCUCCCCUGCCUUCUUUUCCUGUAAGGAAAACCUGCAACCCUCCUUCAUUUUACCUACCUGCACCCUGUGAGGAGGGCCGAAGUGAGAGUCCAGGACUGGCUGAAAGUCACCCACCGAGCUUCACAGGGACUCGAACCCAGAUCCCCCAUGUCCCAGCCCAAUGCCCUGACCACCACACCACCUCUCCAUUGCGUGGGGCAUGUUUCAUGCGACACACAGACUGGCAUCCAGCUUAA